AGCCUUCUGUAUCCAUGCUGAGAUUUCGUCACAGACCAACCCGUCGGGGCUGAUGCAACUUCUCAAAUAAGUAAGGUG
rnacentral:pre_miRNA from 1 species